rnacentral:rRNA from 1 species
GACGAACGCUGGCGGCGUGCUUAACACAUGCAAGUCGAACGGAAAGGCCCUGCUUUUGUGGGGUGCUCGAGUGGCGAACGGGUGAGUAACACGUGAGUAACCUGCCCUUGACUUUGGGAUAACUUCAGGAAACUGGGGCUAAUACCGGAUAGGAGCUCCUGCUGCAUGGUGGGGGUUGGAAAGUUUCGGCGGUUGGGGAUGGACUCGCGGCUUAUCAGCUUGUUGGUGGGGUAGUGGCUUACCAAGGCUUUGACGGGUAGCCGGCCUGAGAGGGUAACCGGCCACAUUGGGACUGAGAUACGGCCCAGUCUCCUACGGGAGGCAGCAGUGGGGAAUAUUGCACAGUGGGCGGAAGCCUGAUGCAGCAACGCCGCGUGCGGGAUGACGGCCUUCGGGUUGUAAACCGCUUUCGCCUGUGACGAAGCGUGAGUGACGGUAAUGGGUAAAGAAGCACCGGCUAACUACGUG